rnacentral:tRNA from 1 species
AUCGCGACAACUCAGUUGUAGAGCAUCUGUGCGUUAAGCAGUGUUGCCGGUUCGAUUCCGGCUUGCGGAG